UGAUGUCUCAAGGGCAACCUAUAUCUGUUAAUGUCUAGGGACACCUGAAACCUCAUAUAACUCCAAGGAGGGAUAGCUCAAGAAUAACAAAUUAAGUUUUCCACCCGUCCAGUGGAAUGAGAGCUCAAAGUUAGAAAUCAGGUUGAGAGACAUGAUACAAUAUCAUUUGCACAUCUGAAUCUGCGGCUGCUCUUCAUAGCAUGUAGAAGUCAUUCAAAGAUGAGACUCAGGUGGUGGUGGCCUGGGGUG
rnacentral:lncRNA from 1 species